AUCCUCACUUUGGCAGGACAUAUACUAAAACUGAAAUAAUGCAGAGAAGACUAGCAGGGACCCUAUGCAAGGAUGACAUGCAAAUUUGUCAAGUGUUCUAUAUUUUU